rnacentral:misc_RNA from 1 species
GGAUUACCCAAUUGGAUGAGAAAAUAAAAAGGAAAAUCCCUCUCUUCAUGGAGUAGAUGCAGGGGCAACUUUUUAAUUUCCUACUCAUUGCUUUUCACGCGUGAACUCAAACCCACAGCACUGCCUCAUUGUCUCAAUCCAUCCGCGUCUGCCUAUAAGAAAAUAGCAUCUCUAACCGUGACGGGUGCUGUUAGGUGACAUCUUGCAGGGUGAUUGUAACCGAGUCUGUUACUGUGAGUCACUAAUUACAAGCGUUGCAAAAUCCAAGGAUGUUACCAUUCGACAGGCGAAGAAACGAUGGAAUUGAAUGAUAAGAUUUUUUUUGGCUCGUAAUUUAAUUAAAAUUGUUUUUAUAUAAGUGAUAUAAAUGAUUGUAAGAGUAUGAUACAGCAUUUCUCAUAUUUUUAUUGAGCUUAGCAGUUUCGGACUUUAUCCUUUAUCUCAGUAGCAUCCCUG